rnacentral:lncRNA from 10 species
GACAAACCACAGAAAGGAUGUAGCUUUAGGAGCUUCUGACAAUCAUCUUACAGCCACACAGGAGCCAACAAAAGGGUUGAAUACUCAAGCCUUACUUGAUGCCAAACUGACCUCCGGAUGGUUCAGUUACAUAACCCAAUAGAUUUCCUGUGUUUCAACCAGUUUGAGGAAGGUUUCUUUCUUUUAAUUACUUUUGUAACUAAUAUGUUAAACACACAUACGAUAUGAUUAAAUGUAAUUUUAUGUUGUUUCCUAAAGUCCCUUUACAUAUUAUUUAGCAUGUGAAAAAUUUCCCCGAUACCACUGUAUGAUAACUCCAGCAGGAUUUCUGAUUCCUCUGCUCACACUCAGGUAAUAGAAAAUCCUAUAACCAUUUUAAGUAAUAAAACAUAGUCUUCCUUCAGAAAUGUAAAGUCUCAAAAGUUCAACAUAUUAACCAAUCCUUCAGUGUUCAUUCAAAAGGAAGACUUUUCCUUCUCUUUAGCCUAUAGACUGGCAAGCCACCUGCCUUCUUCUCUCACCUUCUCCCCAUCUCAUUAGCUGUUCUCAUUGUCUGAUCUGGGUCACAGGUAUUAGGAGGACAAAGGUCAAGGAGUUGAAUGGAAUGACUCUUAUUUGGCUGGUGCUUAGUAAUGCAGUAUUCUGGCUUCCCACUCUAUGGGCCAUGCAUCUAUAUGUUUUGUAGGCAUACCCAUGAGUUCUUCAGAAUCCCCUAUUAGACCUCUCUUACCACCACCUUCAUGAUCCACAAAAGGCAUAUUUUCUUUGACUCACCCUUGUUCUUUCCCCAUAAGUUUCUCUUUCACUGGCCACCCUCACCAUGGAGCAUUCACUAUUGGGAUUUACUUAUGCUAUGAUAGAAGCCUUAUUGGCCAUAUUAGAAAUAAUAUUUAAAGUGAUAAGAUCACCCACAAGAAUGAAAAAGUUUAAGAACAUAAGCUCAUCUUUGAAAAUAUUCAUUUGAAACCAGUUUGUAUUUUUUAAAAAUUAUAAAAACAGUCAAACAGAGCAAGUCAAAGUGACCUGAGAAUUAGUUAAAAAUAGGAAGAAAAAUGAAAACAGGUAACUAAAACUGAAAAACCGACAAAACUCCUUAAAGACCUUUGAUAUGUGGCAAGUCUGUUUUCCUGGUGCACCCAAAUUAGCAAUACAUGAAAAAGCUAAUAUUCCCUAUUAACUAAUAGCUGGCAAUAUUCAUUUUAAACCAGAUCAUUGUUUCAAUUUGCUUUUGAUGAAAUCUCCCGGUGCCACUUAUGAACCGAGGAUGGCUCUGUGACCUUAGGGCUUCUCUGCCUUAUGUUCUCCCUGACUUCGCAAAGCUCCUAAUGGACCUAUGCUUCAAUUUCUUCUGCAGCUUUCCCCUUCCUAGAGACAUUCCUUCCUCUGAGCUGCUACUUGUACCAGUAGUUAUGGAAGCCCUAGUUAUUUUCCCAAACACCUGCUCUCAGCAAAAUAUUAUCAUGCUAUCUCAAAUUUCCGCAGUCCGACAACCACAAUUUUCAGCUCCCAAUGUCAAUAUUUCUUUCAUUCUACUUGGGAGUCAGAUUGCCCCUGAAGUGUAUUUUUAUUUUCUUCUUUGGGUACCGUGACCUCCUUUUGGAUACAACAUGUGUGGCAACCUGUCUCACAUCCAUUUUCAUCCUAUAGCUUAAUGGAGAUUAGCAUGGGAUUUAAAACUUAUAUCCAUAUUUUCCUCCAUAUUUAAAACUUAAAACUUGGAGGCAAGCACACAAAAUCUCCCUUAUUUUGCUGUUCAUCUUGUGAUACUGAGGCAGAAGUAAACCAAGUAUGGUUAAUAUUUUUAAUUAUUUGUCAUGCAAAUUAAUAACAAAUUCCAUGUAAAGCAUUUAUUCCUUUUUCUCUCAAUUUCAGUUAAUUUGAAGUUUGGAUAGAAUGCACAGUGUAUACUCAGACUUUCCAUGGGUGAUUACUUUCUGAUUAGAAAUCAGCAUAAUUUUCCUGGCCAAAGGACUAGGGAGGAAAGGGAGUUAAGUGCUUGUUUUCCCCAAGCACUUAAAAAUAUUCUUAGAAAUACUCUUGCUAAAGAUCUCAUUAUAGCCCUAUAACUUUGCAGACCACCUAAAUUCCUCUAUGUCAUGGCUCCCAUAUCUCCAGGAGAAGCCUUCUCAAAGAAAUAUCCAUGAAAUCCUUGGGCAUUCUGAAGCCAUCUUUCUCCAUUACCCAAACAUCAGCAUCUACUGUUCCUUGGCAGAUUUCACAAAGGGCUGCACACCGGGAGACGAAAAGGUAAUGAUGUGUGUUUGUCUUAUGGGUACACUCACAUUUCAAACUUGUCUACAAUUCCACUAAAUGAAAGGAG